GACGAACGCUGGCGGCGUGCUUAACACAUGCAAGUCGAACGGAAAGGCCCCUUUGGGGGUACUCGAGUGGCGGACGGGUGCGUAACACGUGGGUAACCUUCCCUUGACUUCGGGAUAACUUCAGGAAAGUGGGGCUAAUACCGGAAAGGAAUCCUUGCUGCAUGGGGGGGGUUGGAAAGCUUCGGCGGUGUUGGAUGGACUCGCGGCUUAUCAGCUGGUUGGUGGGGUAGUGGCUUACCAAGGCGUUGACGGGUAGCCGGCCUGAGAGGGCGACCGGCCACACUGGGACUGAGAGACGGCCCAGAUGCCUACGGGAGGAAGCAGUGGGGAAUAUUGCACAAUGGGCGGAAGCCUGAUGCAGCAACGCCGCGUGCGGGAUGACGGCCUUCGGGUUGGAAACCGCCUUCAGCAGGGGCGAAGCUUGUGGUGACGGUACCUGCAGAAGAAGCACCGGCUAACUACGUG
rnacentral:rRNA from 1 species